AGGGAAAUCAGUCACCACUUUAACUGUGGACUUACCAGCAGCGUGAUGCACAGCAGGAGCCUUUAGAGGUUGACGUGGAGUAUGGUGUUGAUUGGACUGGACCAUCUGGUUAUCGCCAGCAGGAUGUUGUGGUCCCUGAGGUUCAGCUGCAGCGCCCACUGACCGAACAGGAAGUGGAAAGCCUCCCAAAACCUGAUGGCCCUCUGUCUGACAUCUUGGAUUCUUACAUGGAGACAGUAAAUCUUUUAUCUGAGAUGCUCCAGUGAAUCACAGUUUCAAGUGCAGAAAGAAUUAAUAAAUCAUACACAAUAUA